rnacentral:lncRNA from 1 species
CUCCGCCCCGCCCAAGGCCCCGCCCACCGCGCUGACGCCUGCCCCACUGCGGCCGCCUGCGAGGUAAGCACGCGCUUCUCGGCCUCUAAACUUCCAAACAGGCCCCUCCACACAGCCCCUCAGGGUGCUGAAGGAGUUACCGUAAUCAGACUCGUUAUCAGAAACAUUUUUUUUAAAAGCUCAUGAACGCUCCAAGGCCUCACCCACAGUUAAUCCAACUUUAAUGGCCUUAUCUUACCAGCUCCGGCCUGGCCUCCGAGUCCAGCCUCCAUCAUUUCCGGGGGAGGGCGGGACUUCCUGUCUGGGGAGGAGCCAAUUGGGAACGGGUUCUGCUGCCUGUGGACCCGAUUGGCUGAAUGCUUUUCAAAGUCCCAGAGUCACCAUAGCCUUCGCAAAGGCCAGUGACCCUACUGGGGUUUGCUUGGGAAGCUCUUGACUGUUGGUCCUCAGAAGGGAUCACGGACACAGGUUUGCCGAGGAAUCUCCAUAUCCGUGAAUAUUGGUAUCUCUCCCAACUCCAUUUUGACUCUAUCUUACAUCUUCUUGCUUGGUAAGCUGGCUUUUUCCUGACUUCUACCCUUGACUUUCUUCUGGGUCCAGCGGAGACUCUGGGUCCUGGUUUGGGUCCAUCCUUGACCGUCUCCUCAGGUCUCUCUGGUUUUGCUGCUUUCCCUAGUGGUUGACAACCAAGUUCAUGGUUUUCUAGGGCACCCGAGUUGCCUCUCUAGAUAGCUUUUUGUUGCCCUCACCUAACACAACUCCAUAGUUAUCAAAGGCACCUUACUGGGACCUGCUUCUGAGAUCACCACUUCAGGGUGUGACAAGUGAUGUCAUCACUUUCAAUUUCUCAAGCACUUGAAUUAACUUGUCACCUUUAUUCCCCUUCUCUCACUCUAGGACAACCCUCAAAUCCAUUCAAUCCUAAAUUACUGUAGCUUUGCAAAGCUACAUACAUGCAUCUUUUCUCUUAUUAUUUAUACCAGUAGAAUAAUAAUGUCACUAACGACAAUAACAACUGCUAACAUUUGUCGAGAACCUAUGGUGUGCUAUCCAUUCUGGCAAGAC